GGAGAGAUGGCCGAGCUUGGUUAUGGCGUCAGGUUAAGGCUUCUAAGUCUUAGCACUUGUUAUCUAGUCUCAUUGACCGGAUAGACGUUUCCUGAUGGGGCAACCCGCGUGGGUUCGAAUCCCACUCUCUUCA
rnacentral:tRNA from 1 species